rnacentral:rRNA from 1 species
ACUCAAAUGAAUUGACGGGGGCCCGCACAAGCGGUGGAGCAUGUGGUUUAAUUCGAUGCAACGCGAAGAACCUUACCUGGGCUUGACAUGGGAACGACCGGUCGAGAGAUCGACCUUUCUCUUCGGAGACGUUCCGCACAGGUGCUGCAUGGCUGUCGUCAGCUCGUGUUGUGAGAUGUUCGGUUAAGUCCGGCAACGAGCGCAACCCUCGUCCUUAGUUGUCAUCAGGUAAAGCUGGACCCUCUAGGGAGACUGCCGCGGAAAACGCGGAGGAAGGUGGGGAUGACGUCAAGUCCUCAUGGCCCUUACGCCCAGGGCUACACACGUGCUACAAUGGUCGGUACAAUGGGAUGCAAAGUCGCGAGACGGAGCUAAUCCUAAAAGCCGUCCUCAGUUCGGAUUGGAGGCUGCAACUCGCCUCCAUGAAGCUGGAAUCGCUAGUAAUCGUGGAUCAGCAUGCCACGGUGAAUACGUUCCCGGGCCUUGUACACACCGCCCGU